UGCAAGUCGAGCGGAGCUUUAGGGAGCUGGCUUCAAAUUUUAGCGGCGGACGGGUGAGUAACACGUGGGCAACCUGCCUAUGAGACUGGGAUAACUCCGGGAAACCGGGGCUAAUACCGGAUAAUUCUUUUCUACUCAUGUAGAGAAGUUGAAAGAUGGUUUCGGCUAUCACUCAUAGAUGGGCCCGCGGCGCAUUAUCUAGUUGGUGAGGUAACGGCUCACCAAGGCGACGAUGCGUAGCCGACCUGAGAGGGUGAUCGGCCACACUGGGACUGAGACACGGCCCAGACUCCUACGGGAGGCAGCAGUAGGGAAUCUUCCGCAAUGGACGAAAGUCUGACGGAGCAACGCCGCGUGAGUGAUGAAGGUUUUCGGAUCGUAAAACUCUGUUGUUAGGGAAGAACAAGUACCGGAGUAACUGCCGGUACCUUGACGGUACCUAACCAGAAAGCCACGGCUAACUACGUGCCAGCAGCCGCGGUAAUACGUAUGUGGCAAGCGUUGUCCGGAAUUAUUGGGCGUAAAGCGCGCGCAGGUGGUCUCUUAAGUCUGAUGUGAAAGCCCCCGGCUCAACCGGGGAGGGUCAUUGGAAACUGGGAGACUUGAGUGCAGGAGAGAAGAGU
rnacentral:rRNA from 1 species